GCCGAGUUCAGUCACGGGAACUUGUAACCCAAGUGGGGGCAUCAAGGUGGGCGGAUGUUGGUUCGGUUGAGCAGGUAGGGCCUGAUGGGGUUAAAUGCUGGCCUGCCCGUUCCAAGUUGGGAGAUGAGUCUCGACAUCCGGGCGAAAGCCUGGGUGGCGUGGCUCCUAGAGUUGGAGGAAACCGCGUGAGUCUGGUUUCACAGAGCAGCGUCCACCUCCCGCUCCCGUCGGUGGAAGGACAACUGGCCGGUGCUCCACAGGUCCAACAACGCCUCCUCAGCCGCUCACAAUCUGACAUCCACCUUUUUUGUAAUUUCGUUUUCAAUUUUAAUCUCCAUUUGCAUUUUAAUUUCCUCUUUAUUAUAUUUGCAAGAUUUUACUCAGCAUUUUUUCAGUCAUUGUAGACAUUCCACUUGACAUCUGCUAAAGUCACCAUCCCAUAGUUUUCAAUUAGUCAAGAAUGUAACAUUUCUUUAUGGUGAACAAGAGGUUAAACUCAAAUGCUUGACAAUCUUAUCUUCUUGAUUCCAAAAUUUAGGCAACAGUCCCAUUUGGUUGCAUCUGGCAAGGUUUUUCUUCUUAAGCACAAACAAUCUUUCUUGGGUAUCCAACUGGAAGACUUUCUUGACUUCAUAAAUACUUUGUUAGAAAUAGAGAUGGACACAAUUGAAUCUGAACGUGAUAUCUCAAAUGUCGUUUAGAUCUUUAGAAUAAAUUGAUAUGACUUGAACUAGAGUAAGCCAACAUGGUCAGGAGGUGGACCGGCAUUGAGAAGUUAGCACCUUGAACUGAUGUUCUCCUUAGGACUCACAUGCUGGAUUGCCCUGCUGUUCUUAUUGUCUUAAUAACUAGACAUGUCCAACCACAAUUAUUAACAUGUGUAAAAGACUGUCAACCUGUAUCGGUUUGAAUUUUUAUACCUCUAUUUUAAUUCUUGGAAACUUGUGGAUUCUUUCUCAAAUGACAUCAUUAUGAAAUGAAGCGAAACAACACAUUAAAAACGGGAUUGUUCUUUUUCCUUCCUGGAAGACCCCAAGUUGUUUUAUGAGAAAUGAAGGUUAUGAAGAGGGUUGGAGGGCAAGCAAACAUGAGAAAAAAUGUUGAAGGCCAUAACUUAAAGUUCAACAUGGGAAUUGAAGUUUAAAAUUUGACAUCAACACAUACUUUUAGUUUGAGGUGAAUUUGAAACACUUCUCAAAAUAAGUUUUGGGCAUGAAUCUCUUAAGGUCAAGAGUUCAAUGCUUCAAUUGACACACAAAUUGGAGUUGAAAUGAGGAAGUUAUGACCAUUUGAAAUCAACUAGGCAUUAUAGGUACUACUUUUGAAUUUGAAAUUGUGAAUUCGAAAUGGAACUUACCAUUUCAAAAUCAUGCAAAUAUCGAAUUUGGCCACUACCAAGUGAAGAGAUCCAACUUCCCAAUUUCGAAUUGGGCCACUAUUGUCUACCUUGAAACUUACAUUUUGGGUAUUUCACCAAAACCUAAGUGGGUCACGAACAAUAGAAAAUAAAAAAUAUGUUAAUUUUUUUUUGUUAUUUUUAGGUAAUUGUUUAGGAAAUAAGCAGCCGAUAGGAGUAUGUCCCGUGUUAAUUUUUAUCUUGACUAUAAAAACUCAAAUUUUAGGUUUCAUAAAAACCACUUAGAGAAUUCUUAAUGAUUCUUGAGAGAGAUAAGAAGACAUUAGAAGAUCUUGGUUGGUUUUCUUCUCUUUUAUUAAUAAAAUAUUGUUUCUAAUUUCUUUAAAUUCAAGAAUGGUUCUUUAUCUCUUUUUAUCGGAUUUGUAUGAAUGAAAACACACUCAUGAGAGGGCUAAAAAAACCAUCUUAGGGUAUGAAACAUGAAAACCUAAGAUUAGAGCUAUGAAAAAAUAAUAGGUGAAAUUGGACUUAAUAAUGAGUUAAAUAAAGAGUUGACAUUAACUUCAAAUUCAAAAUUCAUUCUAAUAUUAGUUUGAAUCAGGGAUGAUAUAACUGUCCUUUCUUUGAUACUAGGCAUUCUUGGUCCCAAUCCUUUGUUAUAUGAGAUUUUACUAAUCUACCCUAAUUCAAAUUUACACUACCUAGUAAAGGCCUAAAUUCAUAUUUCAUAUCCAUACAUUAUAUUUUAUUAUUAUAAAAUAUUUUUAGGAUAAAGUUAAAUUAUGUUUAAUUAUAAAUUUAUACACAAUUCAUUUAUUGUUAUAAUUAAAUUAUACUAAUUAAGAUGGGAAAAAUAGUAAUAAAAUGGUGGAUUUAUACAAGUAUAAUGAUUUUUAAAAAAAAUUAAAAUUGAACUUAUUUUAAAAUAAAGUCUUUAUUAUGUAAUUAAUAUUAGAAUUAUUAAAUAAAAAAUAUUUAAUUAAUUUUAUUCUUAUCAUUAAGAUUUUAAGGUUAAGACAAAGUAUUUAAUGAAGGUUUUGAUGCCUUAGUAGAAAAUAUUUAUAUCAACUUUCUAAAUAAAUAAUGGUUUAAAAAUAAUUGUUACAUUUAUAUAGAAAUAAAAGUAUUUUUUAUAUAAAUUUAACUAUAACAUGUGAGAUUAUAUGCUUAAAUAAAUAUUUAAUUACUUCACUUGAACACUAUAUUUUUAAAUACAAAUAAUAAUAAUAAUAAAAUAAAAUUACAAUAUAACUUACUUAAAAUAUCAAUUGAAGAAAUCAAUAAUUUUCAUUUGCAAUUUUAUAAGAAACAAAAUGCAAUUUGAAGUAGUGGAUGGGGAUGGAACUCCCAACUUACAAAUAUAUACAAAUUAUAAAUACACAUGGCUUUUCCGGGACUCGUGUGUGUUUACAAGAGAAAUUUGAAACAACAUCUCGCAAUCCCACAUCGCCAAGGGAAUGAGCAAAACCAUUUUUUAAAUAAGGGUGGCAGAAAGCCGUAAGAUCGCCGAGUUAAGUAACGAGAACUUGUUACCCGAGUGGGGGCAUUAAGGUGGGCGGAUGUUGGUUUGGUUGAGUGGGUAGGGCCUGAUGGGGUUAACUUGCUGGCCUGCCCGUUCCAAGGUGGGAGAUGUCUCUCGACACCCGAGCGAAGGCUUGGGUGGCGUGGGUCCUAGAGUGGAGUACACUGCGCGAGGCUGGAUUCACAGAGCAGCGUUCACCUCCCGCUCCCGUCGGUGGAAGGGAUAACAGGCCGGUGCUCCACAGGUCCAAUAACGCCUCCUCAGCCGCUCACAAUCUGACAUCCACCUUUUUUGUAAUUUCGUUUUUCGUUAUCAGUUAGGUAUUGCGGUAUCAUGAUUCAUGAAUUCAUAGUUUUGCUAAAAUAUUUCACAAAUAGACAAUUUUCUUAGACGGAGGGAGAAAUAAGUGUGAAAUUAUAAUUUUAAUUAAUUUAUGAAGAAUUAAUUGGUUAAAAG
rnacentral:lncRNA from 1 species